rnacentral:lncRNA from 1 species
AAAAAAGGAUUAAACCAAAAAUAUAAUAAAGUCUAAAUAAAAAGUCCAAAGUCCAUUUACAAAGAAAAAAUAGCCUGAAUUACAAGCUCGAAUUAAAAAACCUAAAAGCCCAAAAACUUAAAAAAAAAAAAGAACCCUAGCCUUUCUUCGCGCCGCAGCCUCGCCACAUUGGUAGGCAUGCCGCCUGACACUCCUUCUGCCACCACCUCCGUUCCGUUGACUCUCUAGGGACACCUACAAAAAAGGGAAGAACAAGGACAGAUGCAAGCACAAACACGCAAAGCAGUAGAAACAGUAAAGAAA